rnacentral:rRNA from 1 species
GCCACUUGGACACUCACCACACUGCCUGUUGGGCACCGAGCCAUCGGGCUCAAGUGGGUGUUCAAGGUGAAGAAGGACGAGCACGGCGCCAUUGUCAAGUACAAGGUGCGCCUAGUUGCAAAGGGCUAUGUGCAAUGUGAGGGAGUGGACUUCGAGGAAGUCUUCGCUCCGGUGGCAAGGCUGGAGUCCGUGCGGCUCAUCCUUGCCGUGGCCGCUCACCGCGGGUGGGAGGUACACCACAUGGACGUCAAGUCGGCGUUUCUCAAUGGCGACCUGAACGAGGAGGUGUACGUCGCCCAGCCACCCGGGUUCGUUGCCAAGGGCCACGGGCAGGGCGUGUACCGACUACACAAGGCCCUGUACGGUCUCCGGCAAGCCCUAAGGGCAUGGAACGCCAAGCUCGAUGCAAGCCUCGCAUCUCUUGGGUUCUCACGCAACACUUCUGAGCACGGCGUGUACUCGCGUGGCACCGCGAACACGCUGCUCAUCGUCGGCAUCUACGUCGAUGACCUGGUCAUCGUCGGGGCAGAGCCUAAAGAGGUUCAACGCUUCAAGGGAGAGAUGCAUCGUCUCUUCAGCAUGAGCGACCUUGGG